rnacentral:lncRNA from 1 species
UGGCCCCUAUGCUCUUUCUACUUGUUGUAAAAUAUUUUUAAAUUCAUUUCUAUGCUAAAUGGGAUUUAUAUGAAUUUUAGAGCACUUAAAAUGCAUGCCUUGUGUAUCAUGAAAAUUUCACUAUAUAGUAGAGCUAUAUGAGUAGAAUGCAUGCAUAUGGGAAAAGUGUUUAUUUUGCAAGUAGAAAAUACAUCUCUUAUGAGAAUUAUGACUUGGAAUAUGUACCUUGGAACAUAGUUGCCAUGCUUUGACAUAGAGAACAAGAGUGUCAUCAAGGGGCACUUGAGACUAGUAAACUAUGAAACUGCAACAUAGAGACAUAUUGAUAGGCCACUCCAUAUCUGCUAUAUUCCAUGUUAGAGACAUGAUGACAUAGGGAUAGGCCAUUGAGAUACUUGACACAUUCCAUGUUUUAGACAUGAGGACUUGGUACUUGCGACAGAUCGUUUGAUUACUUGCCAUUGUGCUCAUUCGCACAUGCUUGUGAGGGUCGCUCCCUACAAGCCGACACUCCGGAGAUGGCCAUCGCGAUACAUAUUCGCCGUGCGGGAUUGGGCGCCAAAGUGGAUUGCCGUGGGCCAGGCUCAUUCCUAGGGUGGGGAUGUUGACUACCACGGGGCCAUUAGGCUCGGCACCGGCCAGACAGCCUACGGGUGGGUCUCAGGGCCAUAGACAGCCUUCGGGUGGGUCUCUUCAGAUUUGACUUUAUAUACCCAUUAUGACAUGUGGACAGAUGAGGACUUAGUGUACUACUUGGACAUUGACUAGAAUAGUAAACAAAGGAACUUUACU